rfam:Gossypium arboreum cultivar AKA8401 contig_26883_1, whole genome shotgun sequence.
AGCUCAUGGUGAGGGCACCUUCUCAACAGAUCCUUGUAUCUCUCACAUGCAUUGUAGAGUGUUUCUAGAUCCAGCUGUAGAAAAGAAGAGAUAUCAUUCAUUAAUUU